rnacentral:lncRNA from 1 species
AACGAAAUCCAAUACCUUCCACCUCAAGCUUUUACAUCGGGUUCACCACUUUUUGUUGUAUUACGUGCUUUCCUGCUCAAGAACAUGCCGGGCAUCUGGUUGUAGAAGGUAGUAUGGAGAUUCGCUAAUAUUCAAGUAGUUUAUCAGUUAUUGACUAUUGGAAUAUAAACAACCACAAGAAUAUACUGUAAAUCUAUACGGAUGUCCUUCGACUGCUCGCCAAAAUCCUUUUUGCCCCAACUGGUAGGUCUCUAGACGUUACUAAGAACCCCAAACAACUCAAACUGCUAAUCUUCGAUACCGCUUUAUACUCACGAUCUUGUAUCCACUGACUGUCUCGUUAUAUGAAUCCAAUAAAUUUCGUUCACUCCACAUACUCAAUCCUAUAGAUACCCUUUUAAUUCUUUAUCACAGACUUAACUCGAUUUCACAAAAUAGUCAAGAGUAAUCACACCCACUUCAUUAAAAUCUCGAUUCAUCAGUACAACACUAACUUCAGCAAUGAUUGCCUCAGUCUUCCCAAACCCUAUGAAGAAAAAAAAUCCCAAUUUUCUGUCUUUUUUCCCUGCUCCAAAGCAUGAAGCUAGCUCUCCGACCCUUCUAAAAAAACUUAUUCUCCCUCCCUUCAAUUUCUUAACCUAUCCUCUCCUUUAAUUCUAAUUCUC